GAGAUCUGUGGCAAAAAGGAUCACUGAUGCUUUCUGGGGAUCUAUGAAAAGCGUGUCCCAUGCAAACACUGCUACAGGAAAGCCUGGCAUGGUUCCUAAACCUGAAAAACAAGUUGGUAAUGACAAAGCUGCUACAACUAAAAGCAGUAAUGCAGCUCUUAACCGCAAAAGUACCAUGUCGGAUGAAACUCGAGAAGCUUUACCAAAAGCCCUUCAAAAGCUUUUUCAAAAUCACAAGGUUUGCAGCUUUCA
rnacentral:misc_RNA from 1 species